rnacentral:rRNA from 1 species
GCCCUUAGAGUUUGAUCCUGGCUCAGAACGAACGCUGGCGGCGCGUUUUAAGCAUGCAAGUCGAGCGGCAAGCACUCUUCGGAGUGCCUAGAGCGGCGAACGGGUGAGUAACACGUAGGUGAUCUGUCCUUCGGGUUGGGGAUAGCCUGUGGAAACAUGGGGUAAUACCGAAUAGGUCCCGCACACUGUGGUGAGCGGGGCAAAGGUCCUUCGGGGCCGCCUGAGGAUGAGCCUGCGGCUCAUUAGCUAGUUGGUAGGGUAAGAGCCUACCAAGGCGACGAUGAGUAGCCGGCCUGAGAGGGUGAUCGGCCACACUGGGACUGAGAUACGGCCCAGACUCCUACGGGAGGCAGCAGCUAAGAAUCUUCCGCAAUGGGCGAAAGCCUGACGGAGCGACGCCGCGUGGGUGAAGAAGGCCUAACGGUUGUAAAGCCCUUUUCUGCGUGAGGAAUAAGUCUGGGAGGCAAUGCCCGGACGAUGACGGUAGCGCAGGAAUAAGCCCCGGCCAAUUACGUGCCAGCAGCCGCGGUAACACGUAUGGGGCGAGCGUUGUUCGGAAUUAUUGGGCGUAAAGGGCGCGCAGGCGGCCACGUAAGCCUGGUGUGUAAGACCGCAGCUCAACUGCGGGGUUGCGCUGGGAACUGCGUGGCUGGAGUUCAGGAGGGGAAGCUGGAAUUCCUGGUGUAGGGGUGAAAUCUGUAGAUAUCAGGAAGAACACCGGCGGCGAAGGCGAGCUUCUGGCCUUGAACUGACGCUGAGGCGCGAAAGCGUGGGGAGCAAACAGGAUUAGAUACCCUGGUAGUCCACGCCGUAAACGAUGUGCACUAGGUGUUGGUCCGCUACAGGAUCAGUGCCGUAGCUAACGCGUUAAGUGCACCGCCUGGGGAGUAUGCUC